rnacentral:rRNA from 1 species
AACGAACGCUGGCGGCAUGCCUAACACAUGCAAGUCGAACGAGACCUUCGGGUCUAGUGGCGCACGGGUGCGUAACGCGUGGGAACCUGCCCUUAGGUUCGGAAUAACUCCCCGAAAGGGGUGCUAAUACCGGAUAAUGUCUUCGGACCAAAGAUUUAUCGCCUUUGGAUGGGCCCGCGUUGGAUUAGCUAGUUGGUAGGGUAAAAGCCUACCAAGGCGACGAUCCAUAGCUGGUCUGAGAGGAUGAUCAGCCACACUGGGACUGAGACACGGCCCAGACUCCUACGGGGGGCAGCAGGGGGGAAUUUUGGACAUUGGGCGAAAGCCUGAUCCAGCACUGCCGCGUGGGUGAUGAAGGCCUUAGGGUUGUAAAGCUCUUUUACCCGGGAUGAUAAUGACAGUACCGGGAGAAUAAGCCCCGGCUAACUCCGU